ensembl:snoRNA K12D12.6 ncRNA
AAUGAUGACUCAAAAUAGCUAUAUGAACUCUUUGGUGACUCGAUAAUAAGAGAAAUCUGAAAAUUUUCAAGGUUUUUCUAGAGAUUUCACCGAUU